CCUACGGGAGGCAGCAGUCGAGAAUCAUUCACAAUGGGGGAAACCCUGAUGGGGCGACGCCGCGUGGGGGAAUGAAGGUCUGCGGAUUGUAAACCCCUGUCAUGUGGGAGCAAAUUAAAAAGAUAGUACCACAAGAGGAAGAGACGGCUAACUCUGUGCCAGCAGCCGCGGUAAUACAGAGGUCUCAAGCGUUGUUCGGAAUCACUGGGCGUAAAGCGUGCGUAGGCUGUUUCGUAAGUCGUGUGUGAAAGGCGCGGGCUCAACCCGCGGACGGCACAUGAUACUGCGAGACUAGAGUAAUGGAGGGGGAACCGGAAUUCUCGGUGUAGCAGUGAAAUGCGUAGAUAUCGAGAGGAACACUCGUGGCGAAGGCGGGUUCCUGGACAUUAACUGACGCUGAGGCACGAAGGCCAGGGGAGCGAAAAGGAUUAGAUACCCCAGUAGUC
rnacentral:rRNA from 1 species